GGCCUGUUGAUUAUGAUUUCAGGUCUAACCUGCCCUAUGAGUAAUUAAAUGGCCGCGGUAUAUUGACCGUGCAAAGGUAGCAUAAUCAUUAGUUUUUUAAUUGAAAGCUUGUAUGAAAGGUUUGAUGAGGAAAUUUCUGUCUCUGUGGAAAUUUAUUAGAAUUUUAUUUUUAAGUGAAAAAGCUUAAAUUAUCAUAGAAGACGAGAAGACCCUAUAGAGUUUUAUAUUUUAUUAGAUUUUGGAUUUGUUGGUAUUAUGAAUUUGGGAAUUAAUAUAGUAUUUUGUUGGGGUGAUAGGAAAAUUUAAUGAACUUUUCUUUAUAUAAACAUUUAUUUAUGAUUUUAUGAUCCUAGUAUUUAGAUUAUAAGAUUAAAUUACCUUAGGGAUAACAGCGUAAUCUUUUUUAGAGUUCUUAUCGAAAAAAGGGGUUGCGACCUCGAUGUUGGAUUAAAAUUAAUCAUUGGUGUAGAAGCUGGUGAAUUAGGUCUGUUCGACCUUUAAAAUUUUACAUGAUCUGAGUUUAAACCGGUGUGAG
rnacentral:rRNA from 1 species